rnacentral:rRNA from 1 species
AUGAACGCUGGCGGCGUGCCUAACACAUGCAAGUCGAACGGAGUCCAGCCUUUAAGACCUUCGGGUCAAAGAGGGGAAGACUGAGUGGCGGACGGGUGAGUAACACGUGGGCAACCUGGCUCAUAGAGGGGGAUAACAGAGAGAAAUUUCUGCUAAUACCGCAUAAGCACACACUGCCGCAUGGCAGAGGGUGAAAAGAGAAUCGCUAUGAGAUGGACCCGCGUCUGAUUAGCCAGUUGGCAGGGUAAGAGCCUACCAAAGCGACGAUCAGUAGCCGAUCUGAGAGGAUGAACGGCCACAUUGGGACUGAGACACGGCCCAAACUCCUACGGGAGGCAGCAGUGGGGGAUAUUGCACAAUGGGGGGAACCCUGAUGCAGCGACGCCGCGUGAGUGAAGAAGUAUUUCGGUAUGUAAAGCCCUAUCAGCAGGGAAGAUAAUGACAGUACCUGAAUAAGAAGCCCCGGCUAACUACGUG